rnacentral:rRNA from 1 species
UAUUGCUCUUGAACGAGGAAUCCCUAGAAGAACAAAAACACUAGCUUGUGCUGAUUACGUCCCUGCCCUUUGUACACACCGCCCGUCGCUACUACCGAUUGAAUGGCUUAGUGAGACCCUCGGAUUGGUAUUCAGAAGCUUUAACCGGCAUCUGUUUGCUGAGAAGUUGGUCAAACUUGGUCAUUUAGAGGAAGUAAAAGUCGUAACAAGGUUUCCGUAGGUGAACCUGCGGAAGGAUCAUUAAUGAUUUUUAAAGCGAGUCGAGCGUUAAGCGAGGCUUGCGAAAUAUUUAAAACCCCACUCUUUUUAACCUUAAAAAAUAAAUCAUGAUACAUGAAUUUAAAAAAAAAGAUCACUUUCAACAACGGAUCUCUUGGCUCUCGCAUCGAUGAAGAACGCAGCGAAAUGCGAUAAGUAGUGUGAAUUGCAUAAUUUUGUGAAUCAUCGAAUCUUUGAACGCAAAUUGCACUCCCUGGUAUUCCGGGGAGUAUGCCUGUUUGAGGGUCGUUAGAAUAAAAAUCGAGGCGUCGCUCUUUUUUUAAGGGUGAUCGCGUCGGAAUUGAGCCGUCUUUCAAAUGUUAAUUCAUGUCAAAGUGGCUUAAAAUUCAUCCAUCCGGUACGAUUAAAGCGUAUUUAAGAUCAAUUUUGAUUAAGAACGCGCGAUGACGUACCAUCUCAUGUAGUACGUUUGACUUGGCGUCGUCAGGAUCAUUCGUAUACGAUACUCAACUUUUGACCUCAAAUCAGGUAAGAAUACCCGCUGAACUUAAGCAUAUCAAUAAGCGGAGGAAAAGAAAAUAACAAUGAUUCCCUCAGUAACGGCGAGCGAAGAGGGAUAAGCUCAAAUUUUAAAUCUGUUGGGUUCCACUUAACAGAGUUGUAUUUUGAAGAAACGUUUUCUGCAUCCAGGAUUAGCCUAAAUCCUUUGGAUAAUGUAUCAUGGAGGGUGAGAAUCCCGUUCAUGGUUUAUCUUGAAGGAAGCUCUACGAUACGUUUUCCAAGAGUCGAGUUGUUUGGGGAUUGCAGCUCAAAUGGAAGGUAAAUUUUCUUCCUAAGCUAAUAUUGGCCGAGAAGACCGAUUAGCGAACAAGUACGUGAGGUAAAGAUGAAAAGAACUUUUGAAAAGAAAGUAAACAGUACGUGCAUGUUGAGGAACGAUGAGUCAGUCUAUACCACGGAAAUCACACGCCUUAUUGAGAGCCUUGGAAUUAGCCUGGUAUUGAAGUGUUAUAGCCUUUGGUAGAUGUGAUGUUUGAGACCGAGGAUUGCAACGGAUACCCUUCAGGGCUAUUCGUCUGAUCUCUGAUACGUUGCCUUGAUGUUGAAAGCUUGCUUAUGAUGUUAGGGUAUUACGGUCAAAAGGUUAGAACGAAUUACAUUCGUUAAGGAUGUUGACGUAAUGACUUUAAACGACCCGUCUUGAAACACGGACCAAGGAGUCUAACAUAUAUGCGAGUGUUU